AAAGAGCCAAUGAUGAUAGCAUAGUUCAUCAGAAAUAAUACUGAUGAUAUUUUUUGUCUUUCGCUCCUAUCUGAGGCCAGUU